CGUACACAAAAGCGCAUGUGUUGUGAGCUCGAUGAGUAGGGCGGGACACGUGGUAUCCUGUCUGAAUAUGGGGGGACCAUCCUCCAAGGCUAAAUACUCCUGACUGACCGAUAGUGAACCAGUACCGUGAGGGAAAGGCGAAAAGAACCCCGGCGAGGGGAGUGAAAAAGAACCUGAAACCGUGUACGUACAAGCAGUGGGAGCCCCACCACUAAGCCAGUGGUGAACUCCACAUACGCAUCCUUUGCUGAAGGUGCGGUUAACGGAGCGCAAGCGACGUUCAACCUCAAAAGAAGCAGAGGGGGCUUAGUGGUGGGGUGACUGCGUACCUUUUGUAUAAUGGGUCAGCGACUUAUAUUCUGUAGCAAGGUUAACCGCAUAGGGGAGCCGGAGGGAAA
rnacentral:rRNA from 1 species